UGACAUCUCUUUGCUGAGUCCAAGCAGUUUCAAAGCAUUAUCUGAGAAGAGGAAUAUGCAUUUGAUGGAAUUACAAGUUGGUGGGAAGGAACAGGCAGGUGCAGAAAACACCUGUGUAUUUCCAACAGAGAGGAUUAAAAGCAACUUCCCAUCCAAAAAACUUAAAAAUAUGGGAAUAUUAAGAAGGAAAAAGAGGAAAAAGAUACCUGGUUACUCUGGAGUAAUCAGGCAAAAGAGAAGCCAUAGACAAAGGAUCACAGGAGUUCUACGGUCAUGAAAAAAAGCAGAACAACAAUAGCAAACAUAUAAAAGAAUCUCAGCUUAUAUCAGCUAGAAACAAACCUAGAUUACAAGAAUUUUUUUUUUCCCUCAUAGCUUCUCAAAUGUGAGAAUUACAGGACUCCCCAGUUAUCCAUAGAUUAUUUAUCAGUUUAAUUAUUUUCAUUUACCUAUUCACUUUUGGGUGUUUAUUUUUUUUUCAAAUGUAAAAUAUAUAUAUAUACAUAUAUAUAUUUCUUUCUCUUUAUAUGUGUAUUCUCUGUGCCCUUGUCUCAUAAACACACAAAGGAUCUAUCUAAGUGGAAAUACUGUUCACAGUUCUGCACUGAUUAUACCAGGGCAUCUUUCCUUCUGCCCCUAUUUAUCUGUCAUCUUUGUGUUUUAUUGUUUUGUAACGAGAAUGUGUUUUGUCACAUUCAUGAAUUGCAGAUCAGUUUCUUAUGAACUGGCAGGACUGAUAGCAGUAGUUUUUCUUCUCAGCAGUCUAUAAUUCUACUUCUUUCUCAUUGUUUGUCAUUUAUGUUUCUGCCUUAUCUGUUUCUUUCUCCCCAUAGAUGGGGAAAGCUGCCUGGAAUACUAGUUGGCAAUUACAUUCUGCAGAUGAUUUCUGUAAAUUAGUCUACUUUUCAAACACUUAAAAGCAAAUUUAUUUUAGCUGAGAGGAGAUCAACUUAAGAAAAGGAAGAAGAAAAGUAUGUCUCAUUUGCAUGGUUGAAUAUACAGGCUUCAGAUUAGACAGCAUAAAUACUAUUUAUAUAUAUGUUAGAUAAUGUUCACCAGCUUUGUUCCUGAAAAGUAUUUUUUAACACUCCUAUUCUUUCAACGCAUAUUCUUUUAGAAAAUAUAUAUAUAUUUAAAUCUAGUUGUUGUCUGCGUGUUUGAUAUGCACUUAGUAAUCUCAUUUUUCCUCAAAUUUAGCCUCAAUAUGAUAAUAUAUGUCAAGUACAACUUUUAGAAAUAUUCAACUUAAUUUAGUCAUUGAUAAAUCUGAGAAAGGU
rnacentral:lncRNA from 1 species